rnacentral:piRNA from 1 species
UACUAAAAUCUAAAUUUUAUCUUUGCUGCC